AGGUGGGCGAAUAGCAGUAGUAUUAGCAGUUUCUGGGGAUUUUUCGUGGGUAAUUAGUGAUAAUAAGUAUGAUAAUCAUGUAGAGAUUUGUCAUACCUUUCCAACGAGUACUUAUGCGCUCGAUUCGGAGUUAUAUUUUAGGGGAUAUCGCUGUUUGAAUCCGGGUAUGCUGUUGUCCAAAAACAGAUUGCAGGGUUUAUCUUAUGGACUGUUUUGGGCUAAUUAGGGGUUGGAAUUUAAUUAUCAUUUGAAUAUAAAACUUGUAGGGAAUUUUAUGUAAAUGUUUCUGGAGUUUUUGAUUGAUAUGACUGAUGUUAUAAUUUUAAAGUUAUGAAACUAUCAAGCAGCGCCGCUGCAGUUUGGUGGUGAUGGGGAGAGUUGUCGCUCGCGAUGGGUUGGAAUUGUGCGUAGGUGCGGCGUUGUUUAUUAGCGUUUGUUAUGUUGAUUUGUACAGUAAGGUGUGUGUCAAAAACAGGUGGUGGACUUCCGGAUCGUACUUAGUACCAUUCCAAAUUUCCGGUGAAGGCAAGUAAAUACAGUGGUGGUUGCUACCGUUUGGUUUGCAUCCUAUGCCUUGUCAUUGAGUAUGCAUAAGUAUUAAAUGUGUUAAUCAUUGAAUUCUAUGAUGAAGUUUAUUUGUUCGAAAGUAUUAAUUCUCAAUUGUCUAAUAUUGCGGAUGAUCAUGAUUUGGGAAUGAUAUAUGUGGUUGAUUCCCAUCUUGGAUGAAGUUGAAGUAUCUUUUUAAAUCACAUUAUAUGAAGUGUUGUAGGCAUGUCAUGCACAUCGCAUCAUCCAUCUUGCAUGUUGAAGUUAUGUCGUGAUCUUAUGGUCCGACCGUACCGGUACACUUUUAGCAUCGUACGUUGCCCGAGUAGGGGUACGAUGCGGCUUCAUAUCCUUAGAGGUAUGAAGGCAGAAGUCAUCCUUGCAUUUGCAGACAUUUGCACUCAUGAUGUAUAUAUGAAGUGUGACAUUACUAUGUUACUAUUGUGGUUUCUACCUGCGAGGUGUGGUAACUAGGCGUGUUGUACAUUGUAUUCAUUCUGCACCUUCGUAAUAAGAAGGUUGUGAAAUUAAGUUGUGGUAAAACAAUGUUCUUAUGUGGUUAAACAGUUUGUUAUUAUUUUACUUGUUGAGAUGUGUCAUCUCACUCUUGCAUUACUCAAUGCAGGUACUUGAUACAUGUUGGGAAUGAGGGGAGUAGCAGCACGUCCACUUUCACUCUCAUAAUAACGCUGCCCAGGCGCAGCCAUGAUUUAAUUAGAAACUUGUUGUCAAAGGAUGUUUGUUUUUUUAACUAGUCGUACGCACUGGUUAAUUCAGUUCAUGUCGUAUGUUUAACUUCCCUUUGCUAGCCUAUUAAUAAUACUUAGUAUGUUUUUUG
rnacentral:lncRNA from 7 species